CAAGUCACAUCUGAUACUUUUAUUUAGCAUUUACUUUCUUGUGCCUUUCUAUUCAACCUAGAAAGACUUCAAUCAAUCCAAUGAAAAACAAAAUUACUUCUUCAGCCAACACUCGUCUCUUCAUCAACCGUCAUCUUGGAAUAUAUAUAACCCACUAUGGAGCUAUGCACCUGCAUACAGAGGUACCUAUAAUCAUCAACAAAAGUGGUGAAUGUUAGAAUCUGCAGUUUUAAGCAUGUGCUUGAUGUCGAUAUUGGACAAGAUCAAGUACCACAAACAUCAAUAAUUAAUACCUAGUAUUGCUGAAAAUACUCAAUCUUCACACGGUUAUAUAUCCUAUUUGAAAUUUAGCAUUCGGAAGAUAUCAAUAUGAUGAAGAGUCGCGAAAAUUAUUUGAAGAUGACUAUUUAUGUUUUUUUUUUAUAGGGUUGAUUAUAUAAUGACAUUAGUUAUUUAGUUUAUACAAUUUCAUUUUCUUAAGUUGUUA